AUUGAACGCUGGCGGAAUGCUUUACACAUGCAAGUCGAACGGCAGCACGGGGCAACCUGGUGGCGAGUGGCGAACGGGUGAGUAAUACAUCGGAACGUGCCCAAUCGUGGGGGAUAACGUAGCGAAAGUUACGCUAAUACCGCAUACGAUCUACGGAUGAAAGCGGGGGAUCGCAAGACCUCGCGCGAAUGGAGCGGCCGAUGUCAGAUUAGGUAGUUGGUGGGGUAAAGGCUCACCAAGCCGACGAUCUGUAGCUGGUCUGAGAGGACGACCAGCCACACUGGGACUGAGACACGGCCCAGACUCCUACGGGAGGCAGCAGUGGGGAAUUUUGGACAAUGGGCGCAAGCCUGAUCCAGCCAUUCCGCGUGCAGGAUGAAGGCCUUCGGUGUAAACUGCUUUUGUACGGUAACGAAACGGUGAGCUCUAAUACAGUUGCUAAUGACGGUACCGUAAGAAUAAAGACACCGGCUAACU
rnacentral:rRNA from 1 species